rnacentral:rRNA from 1 species
AAAUCACUUGUCUCUUAAAUAGAGACCCGUAUGAAUGGCAUGACGAGGGCUUAACUGUCUCCUCCUUCGAGUCAAUGAAAUUGAUCUCCCCGUGCAGAAGCGGGGAUAGCCACAUAAGACGAGAAGACCCUGUGGAGCUUUAGACACCGAGGCAGAUCACGUUAAGUGACCCUAGACAAAGGACUAAACUGAAUGAGUCCUGCCCCCAUGUCUUUGGUUGGGGCGACCAUGGGGUAAAACAAAACCCCCACGUGGAAAGGGAUGAAUCCCUCCUACAACUAAGAGCUUCCACUCUAAUUAACAGAACUUCUGACCAAUUAGAUCCGGCAACGCCGAUCAACGGACCAAGUUACCCCAGGGAUAACAGCGCAAUCCUCUUUUAGAGCCCA